CCAAUGUCUAAGUUUCUCUCUAAGCACUGCCCCCAUCUCUCUUUCUCUCUUCUCCAUAAGUUUAAAAAAGGUACUAAUCUGAGCACAACAUCAUAUUCCUCCAUAGAUUCAUUCUCCACAUCCCAAAAGUCUAGGAGAGAUCCUAACCCUAGCACACCUUCCAUCAAAUCUAGGAGAGAUACUAAUCAUAGUACCGCUAUCCUUUGCA
rnacentral:lncRNA from 1 species